AGAGUUUGAUCCUGGCUCAGAAUCAACGCUGGCGGCGUGCCUAACACAUGCAAGUCGAACGCGAAAGGGGCUUCGGCCCUGAGUAGAGUGGCAGACGGGUGAGUAACGCGUGGAUGACCUGCCCUUGAGCGGGGGAUAACGUCUCGAAAGGGACGCUAAUACCGCAUGAUGUCCCGCCUUUGAAGAGGUGGAGACCAAAGCUGGGGACCGCAAGGCCUGGCACUCAAGGAGGGGUCCGCGUCCGAUUAGCUAGUUGGUGAGGUAACGGCUCACCAAGGCUCCGAUCGGUAGCCGGCCUGAGAGGGCGGACGGCCACACUGGGACUGAGACACGGCCCAGACUCCUACGGGAGGCAGCAGUGGGGAAUUGUUCGCAAUGGGCGAAAGCCUGACGACGCAACGCCGCGUGGAGGAUGAAGAUUUUCGGAUCGUAAACUCCUGUCGAAUGGGACGAAUGGCCUGGCCGUAAACAACGGUCGGGAAUGACGGUACCGUGAGAGGAAGCCCCGGCUAACUCCGUGCCAGCAGCCGCGGUAAUACGGGGGGGGCGAGCGUUGUUCGGAAUUACUGGGCGUAAAGGGCUCGUAGGCGGCUAACUAAGUCAGACGUGAAAUCUCUCGGCUUAACCGGGGAACUGCGUCUGAUACUGGAUGGCUUGAAUCCGGGAGAGGGAUGUGGAAUUCCAGGUGUAGCGGUGAAAUGCGUAGAUAUCUGGAGGAACACCGGUGGCGAACGCGGCAUCCUGCACCGGUAUUGACGCUGAGGAGCGAAAGCCAGGGGAGCAAACGGGAUUAGAUACCUCGGUAGUCCUGGUCCUAAACGAUGAGUGCUUGGUGUGGCGGGUAUCGAUUCUCGCCGUGCCGAAGCUAACGCGUUAAGCACUCCGCUGGGGAGUACGAUCGCAAG
rnacentral:rRNA from 1 species